rnacentral:rRNA from 1 species
CGCGUGAGGAACCUGCCUUCCAGAGGGGGACAACAGUUGGAAACGACUGCUAAUACCGCAUGAUGCGUUGGAGCCGCAUGACUCCGACGUCAAAGAUUUAUCGCUGGAAGAUGGCCUCGCGUCUGAUUAGCUAGUUGGUGAGGUAACGGCCCACCAAGGCGACGAUCAGUAGCCGGACUGAGAGGUUGGCCGGCCACAUUGGGACUGAGACACGGCCCAGACUCCUACGGGAGGCAGCAG